rnacentral:rRNA from 1 species
UACGUAGGGUGCGAGCGUUGUCCGGAAUUACUGGGCGUAAAGAGCUCGUAGGUGGUUUGUCGCGUUGUUCGUGAAAACUCACAGCUUAACUGUGGGCGUGCGGGCGAUACGGGCAGACUGGAGUACUGCAGGGGAGACUGGAAUUCCUGGUGUAGCGGUGGAAUGCGCAGAUAUCAGGAGGAACACCGGUGGCGAAGGCGGUUCUCUGGGCCUGUACUGACGCUGAGGAGCGAAAGCGUGGGGAGCGAACAGG